rnacentral:rRNA from 1 species
UACGUAGGGUGCAAGCGUUGUCCGGAAUUAUUGGGCGUAAAGAGCUCGUAGGCGGUUUGUCGCGUCUGCUGUGAAAACUCGGGGCUUAACCCCGGGCCUGCAGUGGGUACGGGCAGACUAGAGUGCGGUAGGGGAGACUGGAAUUCCUGGUGUAGCGGUGAAAUGCGCAGAUAUCAGGAGGAACACCGGUGGCGAAGGCAGCUCGCUGGGACGGUACUGACGCUGAGACGCGAAAGCGUGGGGAGCAAACAGG